CCUACGGGAGGCAGCAGUGAGGAAUAUUGGUCAAUGGACGAGAGUCUGAACCAGCCAAGUAGCGUGAAGGAUGAAUGCCCUAUGGGUUGUAAACUUCUUUUAUAAAGGAAUAAAACGAGGCACGUGUGCCUUUUUGAUUGUACUUUAUGAAUAAGGAUCGGCUAACUCCGUGCCAGCAGCCGCGGUAAUACGGAGGAUCCGAGCGUUAUCCGGAUUUAUUGGGUUUAAAGGGAGCGUAGAUGGGUUGUUAAGUCAGUUGUGAAAGUUUGCGGCUCAACCGUAAAAUUGCAAUUGAUACUGGCAGUCUUGAGUACAGUUGAGGUAGGCGGAAUUCGUGGUGUAGCGGUGAAAUGCUUAGAUAUCACGAAGAACCCCGAUUGCGAAGGCAGCUUACUAAACUGUGACUGACAUUGAUGCUCGAAAGUGUGGGUAUCAAACAGGAUUAGAUACCCGUGUAGUC
rnacentral:rRNA from 1 species